rnacentral:rRNA from 1 species
UACGGGGGGGGCAAGCGUUGUCCGGAAUUACUGGGCGUAAAGGGCUCGUAGGUGGCCACCUAAGUCAGACGUGAAAUCCCUCGGCUUAACCGGGGAACUGCGUCUGAUACUGGAUGGCUUGAGUUUGGGAGAGGGACGCGGAAUUCCAGGUGUAGCGGUGAAAUGCGUAGAUAUCUGGAGGAACACCGGUGGCGAAGGCGGCGUCCUGGACCAACACUGACACUGAGGAGCGAAAGCCAGGGGAGCAAACGGG